CGGAGCGCGAGGCGCUGCGCGGGACCUGUUGCGUUGGGAGCCGCGGCCGCUCCAGAAAGGGAGCCUUCCGCUUGAAGAAACUCUUGGGACCAGUAACUUGGGAGGAUUUAGUCUCUUGAAGCAAAGUUCUGUGACACUCAGACUCUGAUUAUGAUAGAAGUCAGUGCACUACAGAACUUUGUCUUUGGGGGCUGUAGCAGCGAAGGGGUUAAUGCAUCAGUCCUGAAAGGCUCAGGUGGACACGUCACUACAACCUCCUUCCAAAAGGAGGUGGGAUCAGAGAACAGAAUGAAAUGGGAGUGGGAGAGCAGAUCAGGGUUCACUUCAGUAACUCUGUUUUGGGCCUGAAAUAAAGACUUUGCUUUUAUAAUCUAGUGGCCUCUUAGUUUCUGAAGAUUUUAGAUUAAAAAUAGCACAACAUCUGGGUAUUAGUUAUUUAAAUGAGACCAAUGUGACUGCAAGUAUAAAUGUGGUUCUAAAUGCUACCAAUUAGUGGUUAUGUUAACAUGUUAGGCACUAUUCCUAUUUGCUUAAUCUCUGUAGAUGUAUAAAAGUUACAGUGCAAAAACCGUAGCAUUUUGGUUAACUAUUGUCAUUCGUUAAAACAGCUUUCAGUUAAAUAGAGUUGAAUAAAUGACUUGGUACUCUUCAUUAGCAAGAUCUAGGAAAUGUUCCACUCAAACUGUUACCACUAUCUGCAAUUUGCAUAUUUUGUAAUGUGCUGCAUUGUAAAGCAAUGAGUUGUCUUCACUUAAAAAUGUGAACUGCUA